UGGCUAUCUGGUCGAUCCCCAGACCUUUGGCACCGUUCACAGCGUGCUGAAGUCGCAGGCUUCGUUGCGCUCGAUCGCGUCUGUCGUGAACGUCGAGGCGACGUCCUAUGACGUUCUUGUCGAUCACACGGAGGUCGGCACUGGCUGGGCAAGUGAAACUGGUUCGGUCACAGAAACCGACACCCCGCAGAUCGACCGGAUCUCGAUCCCGCUGCAUGAACUUUCGGCACUUCCCAAGGCCUCGCAGCGGCUGCUCGAUGACAGCGCAUUCGAUGUAGAGGGCUGGCUGGCGAGCCGGAUUGCCGACAAGUUUGCUCGUGCUGAGGCUGCCGCCUUCGUAUCCGGCGAUGGGGCUGACAAACCGACAGGCAUUCUGAACCAUGCCUCCGUUGCCGAUGCGUCGUGGAGCUGGGGCAACCUUGGUUAUGUCGUGACCGGAGUCGACGGCGACUUCAAUUCGACAGCUCCUGCCGACGCCAUUGUUGAUCUGGUUUAUGCUCUGGGUGCGCGGUACCGCGCCAACGGUACCUUCGUGAUGAACUCGAAGACCGCUGGCGUUGUGCGCAAGAUCAAGGAUGCGGACGGCCGGUUCCUGUGGUCGGAUGGCCUGGCGGCGGGAGAGCCAGCCCGUUUGCUUGGCUACCCGGUGCUGGUGCUCGAAGACAUGCCGGACAUCGGGUCGGGUACCUCGGCCAUCGCCUUCGGUGAUUUCGCUUCGGGCUACACGGUCGCCGAACGUCCGGACCUGCGCAUCCUUGGUGACCCCUUCUCUGCAAAGCCCCACGUGCUGUUCUAAAUCGUCGACCUGC
rnacentral:rRNA from 1 species